UACAGAGGUCUCAAGCGUUGUUCGGAUUCAUUGGGCGUAAAGGGUGCGUAGGCGGCGCGGUAAGUCGGGUGUGAAAUCUCGGGGCUUAACUCCGAAACUGCAUUCGAUACUGCCGUGCUUGAGGACUGGAGAGGAGACUGGAAUUUACGGUGUAGCGGUGAAAUGCGUAGAUAUCAGGAGGAACACCGAUGGCGAAGGCAGGUCUCUGGGCCACUACUGACGCUGAGAAGCGAAAAGCAUGGGGGAGCGAACAGG
rnacentral:rRNA from 1 species